rnacentral:rRNA from 1 species
GACGAACGCUGGCGGCGUGCUUAACACAUGCAAGUCGAACGGAAAGGCCCCUUCGGGGGUACUCGANUGGCGAACGGGUGAGUAACACGUGGGUAAUCUGCCCUGCACACUGGGAUAAGCCUGGGAAACUGGGUCUAAUACCGGAUAGGACCUCUCGGCGCAUGCCUAAGAGGUGGAAAGCUUUUGCGGUGUGGGAUGGGCCCGCGGCCUAUCAGCUUGUU